rnacentral:lncRNA from 1 species
CCUUGGAACUGAGGUGUCAGACUUGUUAAUAAGUGCAUGCUCGGUUAGGCCAUCAGAUUUGUCACCAUUUUGCUUGCAGUUCCAAGACGGAUUUUCUUGGAAAUCAAUUUCCUGUUUCUCGACUCCUAGUGAUGAUGGUGAUAAAGCUUUCUCCUCCUUUGCCUCGUCAUGUUUAGAAAUUAACAAAUUUGUCUCGUGAGAUGUCAAUUUUUUCUCAGAUAGACAUUCAAAUGACCCCAAAUGUUUUCCAGAAAUCAGUUUUGUGGUCUCAUUGCAUGAAUCUUCAUAUGAAUUGUGCAACGAAGCAUUACCAGAAUAAGACCCCUUAAGAUCAUGUUCAGGCUUUGAAAAUACAUUCUCAUCCAUAUUAUAAGCUUCACUGUUCACAACAGCCUUAAACUCUUUAACACCCAGACUAUCAGUGAAGCCUCUGGUUGACGUUUCGACAGCAAAGAGAUUGAUAGUAUGCACCUGUUCUGGGGCAGAUACAGACAUAGGAAUUUCAACUACAACAUUCCCCAGAUCACAUGCUUUCUUGACAGGAGAAAUUUUCACGUCAUCCUCAAGAAUUCCAUUCCCAAAGGUAGGCCCCCGACUGGAAAGACAAAGGUUUUCUUUCACUUCAGGACAAUGGGAACCUUUGGCAUUUUUGGCUAUAAGUUGGUUUAACUGCAGUGUUUCUAGCUUGGUUCUUUCGUGAAUAUCACAUAUCGGCUUCACUAAUUCACCAUUUGGGAGCGUUGAGACUAUAUUAGGACAUGACCUUAAAUACAGGUCAGAUUGUUGAGAAAAGGAUAUGGUAACUGAAUCCUCAAGCUUCACUUGGUUUCCACUGCGUCUAUCAUCAGAAGAUCUCAAAACACUAUCAGAAAUCAGAGGCCUAGAAGAUAACUCUGGGUUUGACUCUGGAGAAAUAGUACCGCCAGUGUGCUGCGCUUUUCUAAUAUUAUUCCUAUGACGCUUUAAAUCCAUCGUAUUUUCAGACUCUAAAUUUGAACUGCUAUUAAAUCCCACAAUUUCGGUCAUAUGUUCCAAUGGGGACUGUGAUAUCGAUGUUUCAGGCAUUUGAUCCUCUAAAACACGGCCAGAGCCAGCACUCAAACCAUCACUAAGAGAAUAAAUUUUUCCUAACUGCUUUGACUUCAUAGAAGUGCGAGAUUUCCUCACUGAAACAGAUUGUGCCUUGAGGAAAAAGGCAGACAACGAAUCUUCUACAUUGACAUCUAAGCACUCAUUCAAGCCACCUACAGUCCCACAAGUUCCUUCAACAACGACCGUCUUACCUUCCUCUACAACCACUCCCUCUUCUUUAACUUUCUCAGCACUAGAUUCCUGACCACACCCCUCAUGCCCAAUUAUAUGUAAAUCCUUAUCUCCUAUUCCAACAGAUACACUGCUCUUCCUAGACCGCUUUAACUUCUUCUUAUAAAUAGCCAAUGUAUCCCCCAUACCCCCUAAAUCCUCUACCCCACUUUCUUUCUCCUCAAUCCCCUCACCAACAAAACCCGCGUUUACCUUCUUAGGGUUACAUUUAUUUUUCUUCUUCGCCAUCAUAGCCCCAAUCGGCUCGUCAUCAUUCGAAUCAACCCCAACCCUAGUUUCCAUCACCCUUUUCUUACCCACUACCUUACCCCCCUCAUCCCCCAUCUUCUCAACCCCGAUACGCAUACUAUCAUUAAACCCUAACCCAGAUUCCUCCACAGACCCAUCACACAACCCAUUCUUACAUUCCAUCUUUAUCAAUUUUCCAGACAACCUUAAAACCUUCACACCUUAGAAAAAAAUAACCCAAUUCAACAAAUUAUAACACCAACCUUAAAACCCAACACACAAAUCAAUUCGAAACCCUAAAUUCACACAAUCAUAUGUUUGCAAAAUUUUAACAACACCCAAUUUCACCAAACAAGAUUUCAGCAGCAACCUACAAAAUGCAAUCAAAAUAAUAAAAAAACAAGCCAAAAAAAACUCACAAGAAAUUAUUAAUGAAUACAAUUAUCAACACAAUGAUCGAAAAGGGUGUGAAUAUAUAAAGAUUUAAGAAACGUAUGUACCUUUGGUUGAAGCUUGUGGGGAAGGAGAGCUAAGAAACAGUGAAGCUUGUUAAGUCGGUUUGUAAUAGAAUAGGCUUUGCCCCGGUCUGGUAAAAUUAGGCAAAAAACUAUCGAGUUAUGCGUUUGUGGGGGUAAAAUAUGACAACCGAUAGAUAUAAAUUCUGUAAAAUAAGAUUUUCCUUUUGUUUUUGAUAGAGCAUUAGUGUAGGGGCCUGGAUGUAUGCAUUUUGAAAAUAUGUGUUUGUAUAUGAUGUAUGAUGUCUUGAAAAUCUUAAGAGUUUUUACAUUAAAAUUCAUAAUUCAUACAUCAAAAAAUUAUUUUUGAGAAACUAAUCCUAGAUCAUUAUUAACAUAAAAUUUGAGAAGGGAUAUGACUGAAAUUCAUAACUUAGAGGAAAAGAAAAAAAAAGUAUUUCCAGAAAAUUAACUUUAGAUUAUUAUUAACUCUAAUAAGAAACUUAAAAUAUAUGUCGAAACGGAUUUAGAUUUUGAUACAUGUCAUCUUUUAUAUCUUUUUACGGGUUAGUCAUAUCAAUAUGUUCACGAUCAAUCAUGUCAAUAUGUUUAUGUACAAUACAUAGAUUAUGUAAUCGAUUGUCGAUGUUCAACUGAUAUCGGGAGUGAUUGAAAUUAUUUAAUACAACAAGGUUAAAGAUAUAAAUAGACUCAGAAAAAACCAGUUUAGUUAAGCGCAAAUAUGUUAUUAGGGUUGUAGUUGAUCAAAGUUUCUUACUUAGAAAAUGAUGCAGUUAGCGGAAAAAGAUAAACUAAAAUAGAUAAUACAAUGAUAUGAUAAAGAAGUACCCAAAAUAGAUUUAAUAAAGUGACAAUUAGGUCAUCGUUAAUUCUAUUGUUGGAUUAUUCCCAUCAUUUGUACGAUAUUAUGGACGUUUUCAUAUAAAGGUAAAUAUCAUUAAGGGGGUGUUUUGGAUUGCAAAAACCCGACUUCUUUAAUAAGAGCCUCUCUUUCACUACUAUUGAACCAUAUAGAAAAAAGAGAGUUCAAAAGAAAACAAAAAUGGCAAUUUUCUUCUAUUUCACAACUUGUACUAACAUAUUUUCCUAAUUAAAAAAACCUAGAUGCGUGCUAAACCUAGAUGCGGCGUGUCUUGUAUUUUUUCCGCCAUCCAUCAAACAUAUCUUCAUGUCUCUUUUGGCAUGUAAUAAUUUUCAUGUAUUAAUCAAAUCUCUAAUAUUAUAAUAGUUUAUAAAUUUGUAAGUUUAAACUACUAAGACUGAAUUGACUUAUAAGGAAAAUAUUCAAAUAUUUAAAUAAUUUUAACUCAUAUUAUCCAAAUACUAGCAUAUAAACCCGUGCAAGGCACGGGCCGCUAAUUUAUAUUCUAUUUUAAAUUAUUUCUUUGUAUAAUUAUUUUGUUUGAAAUAUGCGUAUCAUUUCUCUAUUUUUUUUUUGUAAAUAUGUGAGUUCGAUUUACUUGUUCAAGUGAGUGACAACACAAUAUUUAUUAUUUAGCAAUAAAAUAUUAAUCACCGUAUUUUUUGAAUUUAUUAUGCAUCAUAAACAUAUAUUUGGACUGAUUUGCUCGUUCGAAUCAAGAUAAGUUUCAUGAUAUUACAAGAAUUCUUGGAUAUAUAAUUUUCGAUAUUUUGAUUGUGAUUAGAUGACAAUGUAUCACCACCACUAUCUCACACUCAUGUUUUCUUUUUAUUAUGAGCGGUCUUAUAUAUUUGUAAUUAAAGUGUAUGAAGUAUUCGAAUAUUUUGAUAAUACUUAAGAUAUUUUCGGACUUAAUAUAUAAUUUUUUUAAUGUUUAAGAUCGAGUCGACAUGAAAGUGUGCAGAAUAGGUGUCACAGCUGAGUAUGUGAUGUAUGAUGAGACUAUCAUUAGAGCACAAUUAUAAAAAUAAUUUUUGUAUUAAUUGAUUUAAGUUUACAUGAAUUAAUUGCUUGAAAGAGUAUUUUGUAUGACAAAUUAGUUAGUGAUACUUUUAUAAAUGAAAUGUUAAUGUAACAUGAUAAGUAUGAUUAAUGUCAUUAUUUUAUGUGUAAUGUUAGCAAUCAAUAACAUUUAAUAGAUUAAGUGCAAUAAAUGAUUUUUGGGUGGUAUUUCUGUAAUUAUAUGAUGAGUAGGGGUGUAUUAGACAUUUCACAGUCAUUUUCUUGGCAAUUUUUGCCCCUAGUUGUCUUAUUAUAUAGAUAAGUAGAUAAGUAUAUUUUAAUAAUUAUAAUCUCUAUUUUAAUAAAUGUAGCUAAGAAGUCUCAAAAGCAAAAACAAAUGGUCUUUUCUUCUUUUUACAACUUCAACUAAAAUAUUUUCCUUAUUAAUAAAAUCUAGAUGCGGCGCAUCUUGUAUUUUCCUGCCAUUUUUCAAAAAUAUAUCAUUUCUCUUCUAGCAUGUAAUAAGUUGCAUGAAUUAAUUAAAUCUCUAUUAUUAUAGACUUACAAAACUAAUUAUUAUAUCAAGUUAAGCCAGUCACAACACAAAUGCAUCAAACUUUGCACAACUCAUAUAUAUAUAUGAACAACAACUAAUUUGUUUUUCACAUUGACACUGGAUAUCAACUCAAUAGACAGUAUGGGUCUUGGGUGAUUCAAUACAUAUGGAUAAUGAUUGUAUGUUUACAUAAUUAUUAUAGAAUCAUAAAGUAAGAUAACUAGAUAUUAAGAAUGGCAAGAUUUGUAUAACAAGUAUAGCAAGGCUUGCAUAACAAGUGUGAUGAUAAAUGUUGGUAGCUAAAAUUAAGAUGUCUAUAUGCAUAGACAUAUUAUGUUUUUUAAGUAUGUCUAAGUAUCGUUCGACGAUAGUAUAAUCUUGUACCUGCUUUCCUAAAAUAUUUCUUGCCAAAGCAAAAUUUUCCACUAAUUUUACAUGUUUUAGUAACAACAUUCAUGAUUUACGAUCACAUAAUCAUAUAAUCAUCUCGUAAUCAAUUUGAGAACUCUAACAUUUCCGAAAUCAAUCCGACAUGUAUUAGUGAUGAUCAUUCUGAUAUCACAGCUGUCACAGCACCAUCAUCUACAGCUGUCACAUGAGCAUAUUAUUUAUGUUAGUUAGUUCCCGCCAGAAGUUAGUUAGAGCUCACCAUCACUUAGGAGUUGUAUAUAUUCAGUCUGUUUGUGUAGUUUUCCAUUCAUUCAGUUGUAAUACACUUUUCUCCAGUUAGAUAAUACAAUGUGCUUUGCUUUCUUUCAAGAAUCUAUCAUGGUAUCACUAAUAUGAAAACACUUUGGGUUGGCCUCACAGAUGCUAAUCCACUCCCUGCUUGUGUCUGUCAUAAUUGUCCCUGUUGUGCCAAUCUGGUUCAGAAGAUUAAGAAGAGAGAGCAAGAACAAAGGCUCCUCCAGUUCAUGAUGAAACUAAAUGACAAAUUUGCUUCUGUUAGGGCAAAUAUUUUGAUGAUGCAUCCACUUCCUCAAGUGUCUCAGGCUUACAGACUAUUUGCUCAAGAGGAAAGACACAAAGAAAUUUCUCAGGCACAGAACACAGCUGAGUCAAUGGCAUUUCUGGCUGACAAAAGAAGAUUUAAUAAUUUUCCUCAGGCUGGUUCCAAACAAAAUUUCUCAAGUCAGACUUAUGCCAAAAGCAAUUCAUAUGAUUCUGGUGGUAAGAAAUCAUCUGGCAAGCCUGGUUCUAAUUACUAUUGCACUCAUUGUCAAGUGUCUGGUCACAGUAUUGACAGAUGUUUUAAGAUCCAUGGAUUUCCACCAAACUUCAAAGGUUUUAAGGACAAAAAGGUUGCUGCAUUUUCUCAAUCAUCUGGUGAUUCUGCUCCUUCUGAUUCCACAGCUCCAUCUCAGGAUAAUUCUGUUGCUCAGUCUAAUGAACCAACUAUGGAUCAGUAUAAUCAAUUGCUCAAUAUUUUUCAGAAGAACAACUUUUCUGAGUCUGAUGACACUUCUCCCCAACACACUGCUCUUCUGACAGGUACACUCUGUCUUUUAUCCUCAGUUAAUCAUGGAUGGAUAUUGGACACUGGUGCCACUGAUCAUAUCACUUAUAAUUUGGCUGAUUUUUGUGAGUAUAAAGUAGUGUCAGAUUCUAGUAGCUUUAUUACAAUGCCUAAUGGUAGUAAGGCUCCUGUUUUGCAUACUGGCAGUGUCAUUUUGCCUAAUAACAUUUUACUAAAAAAUAUUUUACAUGUUCCCAGUUUUCACUUUAGACUUGUUUCAGCUCACAAACUUUGUCAUGAUGUGCAAUGUCAUUUGACAUUUAGUGCUGAUUGUUGUUUUCUUCAGGACCAUUCUCUGAAAGGUUCUCUGAUUCUUCUUGGUUAACUUCAUCAUGGCUUGUAUAGUGUGGUUCAGGAUGAAUUACAACAUUCAUUUGGUUCAUCUUCACCACACAAGCCAGCUUGCUUUACUACUACACAUUCGGAGUCUGCUGAUCUUCUUCACAUGAGGCUUGGUCACAUGUCAUUUCACCAACUUAAGCUGUUGUUUCCUUCUUGUAAUGUUCAGUCUCAUGUUGACAAUCAUAUUUGUCACAUUUGUCCUCUAGCUAAAACUACUAGAACUUCUUUUCCUCAUAGUAGUAUUAAGUCUACUGCUAUUUUCCAAUUACUACAUAUUGAUGUUUGGGGACCUUAUAAGGUCAAAACUCCAUCUGGUUGUAAUCAGUUCUUGACCAUUGUUGAUGAUUUUAGUAGGUACACCUGGAUUCAUUUGCUCAAAUAUAAAUCUGAUGUUCCUGAUAUUUUUGAGAAUUUCCUCAAUUAUGUUUACAAUCAUUUCCAUGUUAAUGUGCAAACAGUUAGAUCUGAUAAUGCAUUAGAACUCACAUCUGGUAAAAUGAAAGAUCUGUUUCUGAAAAAAGGAAUUGUUAAUCAAAUAACUUGUGCUUAUUCUCCACAACAAAAUGGUGUUGUGGAGAGGAAACAUAGACACCUGUUGGAAACUACCAGGUCAUUGUAUAUUCAAUCUCAAUUACCUGCCAGAUUUUGGGGGGAUUGUGUUCUUUGUGCUGCUUAUCUAGUAAACAGAAUGCCUCUCAAGGCUUUGAAGAAUCAGACACCUUAUUUUAAACUCUACAGUUCUGAUGCUGAUCUUAGUACAUUGAGAUGUUUUGGCUGCUUGUGUUAUUAUGCUACACACAAAGUCAGUAGAACCAAGUUUGAUCUUAGAGGAACACCUGGAGUAUUUCUUGGAUAUCCACCAAAUGUUAAAGGCUAUAAGAUUUUAGACCUUACUACAUUCCAGAUUACAAUUUCCAGAGAUGUAACUUUUCAUGAAAAACACUUCCCUUUUCAUCUGCUAUCUGCUAAAACUAAACUACCAUAUCAGUCCCAAAUCUUUUUACCUAAAACUACAGCACCAACUCAUGAUGAUGAAUAUCCAGCACAUCAUGUUCCAGAUUCUAAUUCUCCAUACAAUUCUCCAAUAAAUUCUCCCAAUAAUUCUCCAAAUCCAAAUUCUGCUGCUAGUACUAAUUCUUCAAAUGAUAAUACUAUUUCUAAUUCUGGUAAUAUCAGUGAUAUUAGCACAAACUUAACUUCACCACCUCCACCUGUUAGAAAUUCUACCAGAAUUAAAAAUCCUCCAGCAUAUCUCCAAGACUAUCACUGCAACUUAGCUUCUUCUUCAGUUUCUCACCACUGGUGUAAUCUGGUUUCUGGCACAGAGUUACCUUCUUCUCAUCAUCAGUUCCUCUCACAGAGUUUAUCUACAGUUGAGCCUUCAAGUUUUCUGGAAGCUUCUGCCAAUCCUUUGUGGCAGGAAGCAAUGGAUAAGAAAAUUAAGGCCCUUGAACACAACAAUACUUGGACUUUAUGUGACUUACCUAAAGGCAAGAAAGCAAUUGCAUGCAGGUGGGUUUAUAAAGUAAAGUUUAAGGCAGAUGGUUCUAUAGAAAGAUAUAAGGCCAGAUUAGUGGCAAAUGGGUUCACUCAGAAGUAUGGGAUUGAUUAUCAGGAGACAUUUUCUCCUGUUAUAAAAAUGAAUACUGUUAGAUGCUUGAUCUCCUUGGCUGCUCAUAAAAAGUGGAAUCUCUAUCAGCUGGAUGUGAAUAAUGCUUUUUUGCAUGGUAAUUUGAAAGAAGAGGUGUACAUGAAGGUUCCAGAUGGUAUUCCUCAUAAGCCAGGCCAAGUCUGCAGGUUAAAUAAAUCCUUAUAUGGUCUAAGGCAGGCUUCUAGAGAAUGGAAUGCCAAGCUUGUGGAAGAAUUAAUCAGGCAAGGCUUUUACCAGUCAAAGCUUGAUUACAAUUUGUUUUUGUGUAAAGAUGCCACAAAUGUUACUAUUGUAGCUGUAUAUGUUGAUGACAUAAUAGUCACAGGUAGCAAUGUUGCCAAGAUUGAUGCUCUCAAGGCUCAUCUUCAUUCUAUUUUUAGCAUCAAGGAUCUGGGAUUCUUAAACUACUUUUUAGGCAUUGAGCUUACUUAUAUCCCAGAAGGAGUAGUUCUCAGUCAAGGUAAAUUUACUAAGGAGUUGCUGUCAUAUGCUUCAGUUGAGUCUACUGCAAAAGCUGCAACUCCACUGCCUUUAAAUAUCAAGCUACAGGCUUCAGAUGGGGAGUUACUUGACAAUCCAGAAAUUUACAGGUCUAUAGUUGGCAAACUCAAUUUCUUGACCAACACUAGACCUGAUCUUGCUUACACAGUACAGUUGUUGAGUCAAUUUCUCCAGCAACCAAGGGACUCUCAUUAUGCUGCUUUAACACAUACUUUAAAGUAUGUUAAUUCUACAAUUGGUCAAGGCAUACUCCUUAAAGCUGCAGAUUCUUUGACUCUACAGGCCUUUUCAGACUCAGACUGGGCAUCAUGUCCAGAUUCAAGAAAGUCUGUCACUGGUUAUGUGCUGUUGUUAGGCAAUUCUCCUAUUGCCUGGAAAUCAAAAAAACAAUCUACUGUUUCCAGAUCAUCUUCUGAGGCUGAGUAUAGAGCCAUGGCAGCAGCUGCUUCUGAAGUUGUCUGGACAGUUCGAUUAUUAGAAAAGUUGGGUCUGUCUAACUUGAAGCCAGUCACUCUUCAUUGUGAUAACCAAUCUGCUCUUCAUAUUGCAAGAAAUCCAGUCUUUCACGAGCGAACGAAACACAUAGAAAUAUACUGUCAUUUCACCAGAGAAAAGGUUCUUGAAGGACUGAUACAACUCACUUAUCUUCCUACUACCAGCCAGUUGGCUGAUGUUCUUACCAAAGUUAUCCCUUCUGUUCAAUUCAAAGAUUUGUUAUCCAAGCCGGGAGUUCAUACAUCUUCACCUCCCAUCUUGAGGGGGGGUAUUAGUGAUGAUCAUUCUGAUAUCACAGCUGUCACAGCACCAUCAUCUACAGCUGUCACAUGAGCUGUCACAUGAGCAUAUUAUUUAUGUUAGUUAGUUCCCGCCAGAAGUUAGUUAGAGCUCACCAUCACUUAGGUGUUGUAUAUAUUCAGUCUGUUUGUGUAGUUUUCCAUUCAUUCAGUUGUAAUACACUUUUCUCCAGUUAGAUAAUACAAUGUGCUUUGCUUUCUUUCAAGAAUCUAUCAACAUGGAUGCUAGUUAAAUUUGUGCAGUCAUGAAACAACUGCAACUCUCAUAAUAGACAAAGACCCAGUGAUGAAUGGAAACAGGUCAUGUUCAUGUAGCAGCAGCUCUGAGCCUCUGCCCUACUAAUUCCUGAGUAAACCAAAGCAGAGAUACACGUGACUACGUGAGAGUAUAGCUAAUCAAACAUUCAUAUUGAAUUUUGUUAAAGUUAGAUCACGAAUACCACAAUUUUCUUUGGCACUCAAUUAAAGGGUUGGCAGACAAUGAUAUAAAAUUAAAACAUGAUUCUGGAUAAACAUGCCCUUGUAGUUUGAAUCAUACAAGCUUCUAACCUCCUGUAAUUUCACUCACUGAAUUGAUUUGAAUCAUCUAGAUUUUAAGAUUUGAUCACUUUUGUCGAGUCUAGCAGCUGAAUUAGCACUGUUAGGCUUCGGUUACAUUAAACUUAUUCGUGAUGUUUUUACAGAAAGAAGAAAUACAACAAAAGUACACAAAUGAUAAGAAAAUACAAUACAAUAACGGAGCAGUUGGUAAAAUUGAUAUCCAAAGCAGCAUAAUCAGUGAUCUAUAUUCUAUUUACGUUUUACAACAUCUAUACGGUCAGAUCUCAUGUCUAUGAUCAACUGUUCAAACUACACUGACCAAUCAUAUGUUCAUAACUGCAUAAAUGAAAUUUAAUUAGCUGCUGUCAUUGAACUGAACUGGUGAAGCACAUUAACCACAAACUAAUUUUGGUACCAGCUUUAGGGUCCAAUUACCAGCAUUUUAGGACCUCCCAAUUCCCAAGGCGUGUAACUUCUGCGUUAUAAAAAAUACUGAAUGCACUUUUCCUGGGGUGUAACCAAGUAGAUGGAACUACAAUCUCUUCCCAAUCCCCCAUAGUUUGUAACCCUAACAUUUCAAUUUAAAGCAGUUCGCCACUUGCUGCAAUGUUACAACCCUGGCACCACCGCAAAUGUAUUAAUUGAAACGGGUACCCAUGCCUGCAAUUGCAUAGCUUAAUAACCGCUAUUUGCAUAUGGAACAUAUAACCACCAAAUGAAAGUAAUAGCUGGAAUAAGAAAGUACAAUGAACCAAAAUUAAGUUAUUAAUACAUACUUGAUACCGCCACCUGGGUGUGGAUGGACAAUGGCACACCGUACGGUCUGCAGGGUUAUCAAGUUGAUAUUAUCAGGUAAACCUUGCAGCACGUUAUUCUGCUCAUUCAAAUACCUGAGGACCAUUACCAGUACAACAGUAUUAAUAUGAAUCUAUACACAGCAUGUCAUGUACAUAACUGAAUGAACAUUUAAUGAACAACGAUUGCACAGAUAUUUUAUCUACAAACAACUAUCCCAAGUAAUCAACCCAUAUUUAACAUCACAACAAUUUUGAUAACUACGGGGAAAAGAAGGGCAAGUUAUACCAUAUGCAGCUCAGCUACAAGGAAUAUGACCUCAAAAGUAGUAUAAGCGGAAAGAAUCCACAGACACUGUAAUGGAUCAGUGUUCUUCAAGUUUGCUUCUGAGGGCUAUCUUGUGCAGGCACACCACAUCUGUCACGGGAAUUUGAUAUAGAUAAGAAUCAUAAUGUACACUUCUGAUAAUGUUCAGCUGUGAACUGCAGCAGGAUGUCGAGGAAACAAUAAAGUAUUAACAUUACAUAACAAGCUAUUCUAGAUUUCAGUAGAUUUACAUUUCACACAAGUGUGAUUUCACUCAUUACUCUCCAACUGUCCCAAAAAUUACGCAGAUAACUUUAUCCAUAUUCUCCUUUACCUUUUGUCCUCAUGCCUGUGUCCACCAGCACAUGAAAUGGGGAUGGUUUUCAUGUCCACCGGACAUGACAUUGGUGUGGAAUAGUUUCUGAAAUAGAUCCUUAGCCAAAUACUUCACCUCGAAGCAUCCAUUUAAAAAUGAAAUUGAAGCUCUCCUCGCGUCUUAUUUACAGAGAGUAAGAUCAAUAGAUGACUCGUUUCAAUAUUAAUCUACAAGUUAAAAUACACAAUUAAGUGUAUCUGUGUAUGUGAUUCAAGCAUAGUACACUGUACACACUAUUUUUAUGUAUGUACAGCACAUCACUAUGCAUAAAAUAUUACUUGUGGAAUGUCAGUCAUGCUGAGUCCCCACGCCUGUGUCCGAUUUAGAUCCAUAUCUAGAACCCUAAAUAUAUUGGAACUAAGAAUCUUACUCUCAGAUCCGCACCCAUAACCGAGUCCAGGUAACAUAAUAAACUCACAUCCCUAAAUAUUUUAAUGCAUACAACCUAUAUUGGCAUUUGGUUUUGAUAAUGACUUGAUCACAUAGGUUAUACUAUAUUUGUUGUGAUCUGAGUGAUCACGAACUUAAGUAGUUGCUAUUAAUCUUUGAGAAACUCUGAUAGCUAAACUUCACAAAAACAAUUAGUGGUAGAUCCAGAAAGUUCCACAAGUGGUCUACUUGGUAAUAAAUGUUCACGGAAAUAUAACAUGGUAUUUUAGACAUAGAAACCAACGUUUAAUUCUCAUCAAAUUCAAUGAAUUCCAUGGAACCAAAUGGGUACACAACUAUAUUUUUACAGGAUCCAAUCAAAAGUCCUGUAUAGUUUAUUCUUGUUCGAGCUAGAGAAGUGGGAUCCUUGGACCCUUUCUCCGAGUCAACACAUCUCUCUUCACAAUUUAUUACUAUCCUCAAUAAUACUCCCUCCAUCCCAAUUUAGAUGAGCCUUUUGCUCAUUUCACGCAUAUUAAGGAGUAUUAAAUGGUUGUUUCUUUUACCAUCUUUACCCAUAUUUAUUGUGUUGACUUCCUAUUGUAUAUUAGCAAGUGGUACAUUGGAAUGAUAAAUAAAAGAGGGUAAGGAUGGAAAAUAGUUGAUAAAUAUGCAUUGAAAGCGGAGAAGCUCAACUAUUUUGGGAUAAAUUUUUUCCCCAAAAGGCUCAUCUAAUUUGGGNNNNNNNNNNNNNNNNNNNNNNNNNNNNNNNNNNNNNNNNNNNNNNNNNNNNNNNNNNNNNNNNNNNNNNNNNNNNNNNNNNNNNNNNNNNNNNNNNNNNNNNNNNNNNNNNNNNNNNNNNNNNNNNNNNNNNNNNNNNNNNNNNNNNNNNNNNNNNNNNNNNNNNNNNNNNNNNNNNNNNNNNNNNNNNNNNNNNNNNNNNNNNNNNNNNNNNNNNNNNNNNNNNNNNNNNNNNNNNNNNNNNNNNNNNNNNNNNNNNNNNNNNNNNNNNNNNNNNNNNNNNNNNNNNNNNNNNNNNNNNNNNNNNNNNNNNNNNNNNNNNNNNNNNNNNNNNNNNNNNNNNNNNNNNNNNNNNNNNNNNNNNNNNNNNNNNNNNNNNNNNNNNNNNNNNNNNNNNNNNNNNNNNNNNNNNNNNNNNNNNNNNNNNNNNNNNNNNNNNNNNNNNNNNNNNNNNNNNNNNNNNNNNNNNNNNNNNNNNNNNNNNNNNNNNNNNNNNNNNNNNNNNNNNNNNNNNNNNNNNNNNNNNNNNNNNNNNNNNNNNNNNNNNNNNNNNNNNNNNNNNNNNNNNNNNNNNNNNNNNNNNNNNNNNNNNNNNNNNNNNNNNNNNNNNNNNNNNNNNNNNNNNNNNNNNNNNNNNNNNNNNNNNNNNNNNNNNNNNNNNNNNNNNNNNNNNNNNNNNNNNNNNNNNNNNNNNNNNNNNNNNNNNNNNNNNNNNNNNNNNNNNNNNNNNNNNNNNNNNNNNNNNNNNNNNNNNNNNNNNNNNNNNNNNNNNNNNNNNNNNNNNNNNNNNNNNNNNNNNNNNNNNNNNNNNNNNNNNNNNNNNNNNNNNNNNNNNNNNNNNNNNNNNNNNNNNNNNNNNNNNNNNNNNNNNNNNNNNNNNNNNNNNNNNNNNNNNNNNNNNNNNNNNNNNNNNNNGAGAGAGAGAGAGAGGGAGAUCAACACAGACUACCAUUUCUAAUCUUGAUGGAAAAAUCAUGUUAUGAGCCCGAACGUAUUCAUGUGAGACACAAGGGUCGUAUCUUAUAUAUUUUAUGGAGUCCAAUAAUAACUCUCUAAUUAUCCCUGCUUUAAAGAGAGUGUGGUCAUUACUGGACACCCCUAAUGUCCAACUACAUCCAAGAAUCUGACCCUGUUCUCAUACAGUACAAAUUAUCAAUGAACUGUUACAAACUGAUCAUCCAUAAAUUAAUUACUUUAACUUCCAGUUUGAUACAGUAGAGUAAGCCUCAGCCUUUCUCAAUUCACCAUAUAAGCUGCCUUAUGCAACAGAUUUUCAGAUGUAAUACUGAACUUGAGUCUGUAACUGAACACAAGUUCAAUAUUCAGGUAAACAUACUCGAAAUGAUGCAUUAAAAAAAAUCAGUAACAUGCAUUUAAAAAACCUCCAAGUUUUCAGAUAAAAAUCAGUAUAGGCAGGCAGUCUGCAACUCAAAACUUGUAAGAACUUCCAUACCAAUUUUUAUCUGCAAAGACACAAGUCCUGCUUGACUAACAAAGCACGUCUACUUAAAUUACAGUCAUUUCAUUAUCCUUCCCUUUGACAGUCUCAUGCCUGAAAAAAGCGUGAAGAGUGUCAAAGCAAGAAAAGCAGAUGCUAGGAGAAAGUGGGAGUAGGAAAAGUUAGUAACAUGCUUGAGGUGCCACUGAAGUUCACAACUAACUAAGUUAAGGAGACAAAACAUGCUAUCUCAACACUUUAUGCAAAGUCAAGCCUGGCAUUGAGAUAUCACAAAAGUGAAACCUCAUUUUUUAACCAUACUCANCAGAGAGAGAGAGGGAGAGGGAGAGGGGGGGGGGGGGGAGAGAGAGAGAGAGAGAGAGAUAGGGAGAGAGAUCAUCCAAAUCAGUUAGGAAAGGCUCCGACUGAAGCUGACAUCCCAACACUAAUAAUAAAAAAGCCACUUAGAACAUAUUAAAUGACAAACAAUUAUGAUGGGAUUAUACUUUCUUGAAUUACAAAUAAGAAAUGCCAGGGGGAGAGGAAAAACCAGUCGGUGCUCACACACGGAAUAAAAGACAAAACGAAAUAGGACGACAGAAACCAGAUCACCUAGAAAAGAGGCACUGAUAUGCAGCUCAUCUUUUGGUUAAACCAAAACGAACAAUAUCUUAAGCAGAAGCAAUAGUUGGUAAUAUAUUUCGUCUACUAACUUUUUAUAUGCACAUAUGAAGUUAUAGAGUAAAAACAGUGAUGAGGAAUAUAAGAUGCUCCAAUGGUGACCAAUGAACAAAAACCUAGAAGUAUUUUCCUCUACACCUUUAAUAUAAAGCUUAAAGAUGAUGCACCACUCUUCUCAAGAUGGCUAAUAUUUUUUAUCACAUGUGCAUAUCAUCAAAACAAGCAUAUCAAUAUCAUUGCAAAGUGCCCAACUUGAAAUAUGUAGUAGGCUUAUCAAUUCUGAAUAUUUACUUUAAUGGUUAAUCAAUUUCUAACAUAAUGUGUAUGAUAUCGUACAAAGGCACAAAAAGUCGGGAGUCUGUAACAAGUCCACCAAUCAUGAUCACAUUGACAGAUUCUUACAAAAGCCACCUUCAUCCAUUUCUGCAACAUCUUAGUCAUAAACUGUAGAAUUUCUAUUAACGACACUGUCUGCUAUUAUGCAACAUCAAUAUAUCAAGAGCACCCACUAGCAAGAUCAGGCUUCCUCCACCUUCCAAAAGAUAGCAGUGAGAUGAAGAAACGACUAUCUAACACCUGAUUUACUCGCCAUGUGUCUCUCAAUCAACAUGUCUACAAAUGCUCGGAUCUGCAUAUUAUAACAGUACAAAAAAAACCCAGUAAGUAAUAAACUACUGCAAAAGUAAAAUGCCCAUUAAUAUAUAAGAAAUAUACCAAAUCAAAAUUUUCAUUCAGCAUUGACUUCCUAGGGCAGAGUAAUUGCGUGGUAAUUCAGAAAUGAUCUUACACUGCUGGAAUACAUUAUUUAUUGAUGUAAGCUGAGCUAGCUCUUUUAUCAAAUUAUAUCAAAGUCCGGAAAAGCAUUCUAGAAGAACCUAUGUUAAUGUUGCACUUAGCUAAUAGAUGAGCUAAAGUUUUCCCCGCGCUUAAAAUAAUGAACAUCAAAGAACCAUAGCUAUUUUAAUUUUUCAAAUGUCAUGAAAAACAGGAGCAACAGAGUCCAUCCUUCCAUAUUAUUUUCUUUAUAGCUGGAAUGGCCUUUAUAGUGUCACUUUCCAAAACCUCCUGCUUAAAGCCAAGUAUCUUCACAGAAGCUAUAUUGACCCCUUCCUUUCUGUUGUUUCCAGGGCUUCCUCAGGCCGAGUCAAAAUUGUGUGCAACUCUCUCGUUAAUGACCAGCAAGGUACCGUACUCAAAGUCUUACCCAACCGAGCCCCAAUUUAUGCAAAAAAAUCGAGGUCAGGGUAUCAUCCCCAGUCUAAUUGGAUUUGUUCUCAAUAGCCCGUAGAUGCUCUUUUCGCGUUCAUCGAUUUUAAAUCAAUCAAACGCAUGCUUUCAACAGUUAUAUGUUCAGCACUUGGCUACCCAGCACUGCAUUUGGUGAUUAGACUGAACAAACAAACAGUCCUAUCGGAGAACAUAAUCACAAACAGUCUUACUUAGCCCUAGGUAGAUUUGUGAAGCUGCUGAAUUGCCUCUUCAAAAAUAAACUGCAAACCGAGGAUUUACGAAGAUAACCGGUACCACAGCAUUCCAAGAGAUAGUUACUCAAGUGCAGAGUGGAGUCAUUAAGUUUAAAAGAUGGGACUUACUAUUAAAAUAUGGUUUCAUCGAUAGCAGAAUAUCCUGACUCUACAAGGGUUCUACCAGUGCUACGCGUUCACGAAUCACGAGUCAACUGACCGAUGGAACUGGUCGUAUGGGAUCACGGGUCGACUUCGACCUGGUGCAUAUACAUAUAUGUCUGUGUAUACAAAUGUUUUUCUUUUUCUACAUGAACUGAUAAAAGUCGAGGAAGAAGGUAAUGUUGGCAUUAUUAUGAAGCCAAGGAAGAAAGCCUAGAUAUUCUCAAAAUGAUUGGAACUCUACACUUGUAUAAGAUAUUAAUAUCGUUAUGCUGCAUUUCUUUCAUAUUCAAUCCAUAUUCAGUCUAUACGAGUUGAUAUUAAAAUUUAAAUUAAUUUUUAGUUGACAUAAGUUCCAUAACUAAUAUAUUUUAGUUUUAGAAUCACAUUUGUAUUUUAAUAAAAUAUGAAAAAUUGAAAAUAUAAUGUUACAAGUGGAUCCUUGUAUCGAUCCACGAACCUGAUUCGCGGCAUGUCAAACCCGAUUCAUACAAACUAGUGUUCCACACACCCGUACUCGUACCACUUACCCCAUACCUGAUCGAUCCGCUAUCUGUGCAGCAUUGGGCGCUACUACGCCGCUCAAACCAAUAAACAGCCGUUGCCGCCUCUGCUUCUGCUUCCGACCAGCAGUCCUACAAGCAACUACAGCAAGCGUCUCACGAAAUUUCUAACUAUCCACGGCCCCACAUAUGUACCAUUACCAAUGUUACUCAGACUUGGGUACGGAGAGUCGGACACGACACGUAUCUAAGUGUCGGACACAAAAUAUUAAAAAAUUUAAGACAUGGGGACACCGUCCAAAUUUUGGACACAGGUACGGGGACACAGCAUUUUUUAUUUAAAUUAAAAUUUUAUAUUAUAACAAUUGUUUAUUUAUUUUAUAUAUUAGGAUUAUGCAUUGAUAAAAUCAGUUAUAAUCAAAAUAAUAUUAAAAAUAUAUUUAAUUAUACUAGUAGUAGUGGAUCUAAUUACUCCUUAACAUUAGUAUUUUUUUUUCCUUAUAUGGUAACACAGGCUCCAUUAAGUAAUAAAUGGACAUGACAUCCAUAUUGUCCAGAUUCAUUUUUAUAUUAUCACUCAAGCAGACAUAUCUAGGUGUAAAGUUUGACUUUACCUCCCCCUUCCCUAGCUCGUCUUUCCCAUCCCCUUCUUCUAAUUUCACCUACCUGGCUACCUACCCAAAGUAUAAUAUAUACAUACAACUAUACAUACAUGUGUUAAAAAAAAUCUUCAAACACAUGUCACUUGUUAGAUCAGCAAUCAUGCAAUCACUAACAGUAGCCUGCAAAAAUAUAUCCGGCGAGCUUUAGUUCUUUCUGACGAGCUUCCAUUUUUCAGGUGACGACGGAUCCGAUCUAAAGACCACGUAUCCGGCAUCAUAUCCCCUGUCGUGUCGACAUGGGUACGGCCAACGGAAUAGCCGGGUCGGAGUAACAUAGACCAUUACAGACAUGCACAACUGUAUUCAGCUUUACCGAACCUGUUGUGAGGGCCCCUUCAACAAAAUUACAGUUCUGCGACCACCCUUAAACACAAUCUUAGCAUAAAAACAAUACUUCACCAAUCUUGAGCAUUCCACUACCACAUGCAUAGAAUUAGGGGUAGUUUGCUCGAAAAAAGGAAGUUGUUGACAAGACCAAGACAUCCCAGUCAAAAAUUAAAAAAAUCGUGGUUCAUAUUUAUCUACCUUAUUAGUUGCCACACAGGCCAAUAUAUCUGCUANAAUAGAGUGGACAGUCUACUCAAGAGCAUCUACAACAGGGUUGGCUAAAUUGGACCCGUAGGACAUUAUGUAAUUCGGUGGUAUUGGCUAUAUUGGUUGGUUAUAAUUUAAAAAUAGUAUGUUAUUAAUAUUUUAGAUUAUUAUAAAUAGAAUAUAUCACUUCAAUAUGGUAAUAAAUGAUGUUUAAUCUUGCUACAGAUUUCUUAAGGCAUGUAGAGAUUCGACAAAUAGAGUCAUCUAUAGGAGGUUGACUAUAAUUAUAGACAAGAGGAAGGCAUGGUUGGAGUGUGAUAUUUUCAAGAGAUUAUCUAUAUUUUUUAUUUUGGUAUGCCAACUCACUUUUUAGCCAAGGGUUUUCAUGGUUGGAGUUGCUCUAAAAAGAAAAAUUACAUUCAUCAGAGUAAGUUGUCAGUUGUCAGGUUGAAGAGAACCCCGUUGACAAGACCCAGACAAAUGAUAUUUAUCUGAAUAAGAGAGGAAAAGAAUAAAAAAGCACAUGCACUUCAUUAGACCUCAGACCUCAGAUUGGAACCGAAGAAAAUAAAUACAGAACCACUGAUAAAGAAUAAGAGGCACUGAAGCUCCAAGUAGUCACAUUUUGCAAGUUUCUUUUCUACAAAACUAUCCACCAACUACUGGUUUAGUCUAAGUCGGGUUGGGCAUGUAGUGUCCUGAGGCAUCAUGUGAAGUGUUGGAUCGAAGUGUUAUGAAUAUCUUCAUGAUUAAUGUGAACUAUUUCUCGUCAUCAUAGUGUAAGGGAGACCAAAAUAUAUUUUACCCUUAAAAAAUAUUACAUAGUGCAAGUGAAGCAAUCAAACGGCAGAGAAAUUCAGCCAAAAACAUAUGUUAUGAAACAAAAGAUAAAGCAAUUAGAGAAACACAUGCAAGACUGGGGUAGAAAAUUUAGUUACCUUGUGUUUGCGCUUAGAAUUAAGGAAGUCAAAAACAUUCAUUGAUUUCUCUGCAUCUGUGGCCUGGUCCAUGACCUGAAAUUAGUUUGGAGGAGAUAAGAAGGUAAUGGUACAUAUUCCAAACCAUUAAUAAGGCUGUAAAGUAAAGUCAUGAAAUUAGUGUUGCUUUAUUAGUAUUUCACCUACAGAUGUGUAAUCUACUUUUGUUUCAGUGUAACAUGUAUCCUAUUAGUGUUUUAAGAAAAGAAUGGAAGAAAGAAUUGACCUUUGUUGUUGCUUUCUUCAUUAUUGACUUGUAACCAUCCUUGUCAAAUUUCUUUGCUUUAUAAAGAGGCAUGAGCAAAGAUGCAACAUAAUCCACAACAGCUUGCUUGAUCUUCUCUGGUCCUUUAGAUCGAUUUUCAACCAUCUCCUUCCCUGUAGUAACUUGGAAAGUAGAGCUCUCACUUGCAUGAACCUCAUGCUUCAUUAUAGACGGCCUCGAGUUAAUUUUAGUCUCUUCCGCAUCCAUCAUCCGCAUGGUCCGACUAUAGAACUCAGAAUCAGCGGCGGCGGCUUGUGACUGCCAUCUCUCAAUGGCACUUCCAUCCUUAAUACCUUCGCUGCCAGCACUGUCAACCCAUGCUUUGGUGAAUAUACUGCUGUCAACAGCCGCACUAUCAGCAGAGUGCUCACUGAAGUUCACCUGACAAGCAACCUCAUGUAAGGAGCUGCGCUGUGAGAGAUUUUCCACCGACCUUUUCGAAUUUCCAAGGUUCACAUGAGAAGAUGAGAAAUCAGCAGUCCAUUCCCUAACCUUGCAGUUCCUAGAAUCUAUUUCCAAUGUAUGGUUAUCGGGCUCCUCCAAUUGCGGAUAAUGCUCGCGUCUAGCAUAUUUGUUAAACGAAGGUAUCUUAGGAAGCUGCAGAGAAGUACUGCCCCUGGUACCUGACAGAGCAUAGGCCUGCACGUACAGAAGUAACUUUUAUAAAUGUUGAACAUGUAUAAGAGUACGUAGUGGUGCUUUAUGAAAGUAAAUCGCAAACAUAUUUACAAUACACCAACACACAAAUUAACACAAACGAGGUAACAUCUACAAGUCCUCCCAAACGCUGACCAUCAAGCACAAUCUGGCUUGUGAAUACAAAAUAUUCAUCAUAAAUAACUAUAAAAUGUUCCCUCAUACAAAGAAACUUGUCCAUUGUUGUUCUUUUAUUCAAAUGUCUGAACCAAGCAACUCAGAUCGGAUAUAAUUUAGAUAAACGGUCCGCAAAGGCUAUACAGAGUGAUUGAUAUGUCUGUCACUCAUAAAACCUAUAAAUCCCUUCAGAGUUUUUUUUAUGUAAAAUAAAUCCCUUCAGAUUUUUAAUAACAAUAGUGAUAUUAUAGUUGAAGCAUUCAAAUAUAUUUAAGUUGCCACCAACGAAUCUGGGAAUUGCAAAGCAAAAAGACUUAUAUUACACAUAUCAAUUGAAGCACUAUUAUUUAAAUAUGUAAUGCAAAAUGAGCUAUAAAUGUAUAAGGGAGGAACUUAUGUCUUAUGGUGUCUAAUCAAGCAUAGCUUUCAGAAUUUUAAUCUAUAUUGAGAUGCACAAUAAUCAUAAUCCUGAUCAAGGCAAAAUAAAUAAGCCACUACCCUUACAAUAUAUGUCUUCUGUAAAUGUGCAUCUCAAAGAGGAUGAAAGUCAUGUGGAUGUGGCUUUCCUGUAGUCUUGUCUCUCUUUACAGAAAAGUAACAUAUACAGAUUAUAGAGACUUGGACUUUUGAAGAAUUCGGAAGAAUAUGAUUGAAGAAUAGUGGGUAGAGUACAACAAUCUAUGAACAUAAAUCAUCAGCCUCGUGAGCAUGAAAGAAUGGCACAUGCAUUGGACGGUAACUCAGUUCAUAAUAAGGAUAUAAAUGAAUGUAUUUCCUAUAAGAACUCAGAUGUUGUACUAAGAAUGUCAAGCCAGAGAAGUUCAUCAAAUAUUUUUGAGGAGUAUCUAUUAUGAGAAACCAACCUUGGCAGCUGCAAUUGCCGCUGCACGAGCUGCUUCUUCAGCAGCUAAGAUAGCUUUUUCUUCCUCUGAUGGGACAUAUUGUAUUUCAUCCAACAUCUUGGUAGGGUUGAUUCCCUUUUUAUUGUGUGAAGGUUGUGCGCCAUGUGGGGCAGGGGGUUUCCCUGAACCAAGACUAUACUUGCUUUUUGAGGACUCCAUGGCAUUCGAUUGCCUCAUCAACUUCAGCCCACCAUUGGAGGCCUUCUGUUUGCGAAAUACUUCGAUCCACACAUUAACCAAUUGGCUUGCUACAGCGCGUAUAUCACGGCUGGUAUGCAGACAUACUUUUUCUUUAACAGUUUUCCCAAUUCCUACAACAUAUUUUUAGAACGUGAGCAAGUGAGACAACUAAAAAAAUAAUGAAAAAGCAAGUUUUUUUAAUAUAUUGGCUGUAAAAAGCAGUAGAGCAUUGUCUAAUGGCGAUAUAACACGUAAUAGCUUCAUCAUAAGAUGGCUCAUAUAUAUGGAUACAGUUAGAUCUAGUGCACAAACUAUCAUGUACUUAAGCUAACAAAAUUUAUUAAUUCUCCUAGCUUUUAAUAUAUGAAGAACAAGAGAAGCAAGGUGCUAGUUAUCUUGACACCAGUAUAAUAUUUUCUUUGAAACUAUAUAAAAAGAUCUGUUGCAAUUUUCCCCUUGAACAAUAUUAUAUAUGCAGCAUCUCAUUCUCACUGAUCUCCAAUCAAACCCAUAAAUUAUUUAAAAAGAAACCUAUAGAUUAUAGAUUAUUUAAGAAGAAACUCUAAGUCUUAACAUGUGAAAAAUAACCAUGGCUGCACUCCAGUCUGUUUUAUAGAGCCACAGUCAUACACCUAUAUUUCUAUUUAAUAGAACAGAUACACAGGCAAUAGAGUAUAUACCAGACACACGAACUGCUAGCAGAUCAGUGGAAACAAGAGUAAGAAGACGAACACAAUGCCGCAGUAGUUGAGUCGCAUCCUUUCCCAGAGAAUCCUGUUGUAGAAGUAGAGCAUUAAUACUGAUAACUGCAAAGGCGAACUUUAAAUUUCCUAGAUCACUUUUAUACCAAAGACAAACACACUAAACACAUACCAGAAUCCAUUUGUUGAGAAUGCUGAGCCCGUCUUUGGUUCCAGCAAAAGAUUUCAGCACCCUAACAGGAAAAUGCAACAGCUCUUUGAUCAGAUGCAAUCUACCAGAUGUGGUUUUUGCUUUAGAGAACAUGUCUUGCAGUAAAUCUUUCCUUGUUAUAACAUGGCUUCCAUCCAAAGAUUUUUCAUAUAGAGCAUUUGACAUCUGAACUGCUUCAAGUCUUUUAAUUAUGUCAUUAACUUCACUUCGUUCACUGUCCAUGCAUCUCUGUUCAGCCUCCAUUGAAUUCACCUCUGUCAUAUAAUCAAUUCCUGUAGUCAACAUAUUCAUAAUGCGAACAGCCUCCCGAAUUCCACUCAUCAUUGCACCACCAACCGUGUCAGGGUGCUCCUUGCAUGUAGCUUCACCAGCAAAAAACACACAAUUCUCAACAGGGCUACCCAGUAUGUCAUAAUCUUCACCAGAUGCACCAAUAGCAACAUAAGAGUAAGCACCAUAACUGUAUGGAUCCCUUCCCCAAUCAGUCACAACUGACGCAACUGGAUCAGGCACAACAGCUACCCCAAAGAGUUUUCUGAGAACCGCUAACGCAUGGUUUACAUGUUCGGACGAGCUCUUGUCUUGCACAUCUAAAGCUGCCCUACCAACGACUAAAGCUAUAAGAAUAGGUGCCCCAACGGUUUUCCUGACAUUCCAAAACAUAAAGCAGUGACCCCUCUUGUCUGUUUCCUCAGCAGUUGCUCCAAAAUAAUCAACAGAAUCAUCCCAAAAUACUUCAGGGAAUUCCAAAACCACUUUAUUAAGCACACCAAAACCAAGCCUUUGUAUGGACAAGUUUUUCCAAUGUGGCAAUGGCGGUGCAAACUUUAUCGAUUCCUUUUUUAGGCACCCAAGUGGAACAGUGAUCAGAACUGCAUCACCAAAAAAGUCUCUACCAUUUGAAGUGGAAACUUUAACGUUGUGAUGCUGAUCUUCAUCUAUCAUGGCAUCACCUGUGCGGUAGGUAACACUUGUGACCACGUGAUUCAAAUGUAUGCAAAGACCUUCUCCCAACGCCUCGACUACAGUGCUGUAUCCCCCUUUGAUCAUACAAUGAGCUCCUCCAAAUCCUCCAUAUACGUCAUCCUGAUUCCAGCAAGGAAGUGAUACAUCCUUGAGUGAAGCAGCACAACCGUACUCCAAGUGAGCAAAAUGCCAAUCCAUGACCCUCCUUUCAAGAGGACUUAAUACUUCUCCUUCAGAAUUGCUGUUCCUAAGAACCUCUUCAUCGAUAACAUCUGCUAAUUUAUGAAGAAUACUUCUUCCACCAUUUCUUUUAUACUUGGUCAAGCGACGCCUCUCAAGGGCAAAUUCUAAACCAUCUUCAAGGGACAUUUUCAUAGCAUGCGUCCCCUUUUGAGCAACCAGAAGUUCCAUGUCAUCAAGUAGAUUGUUGAAUUCAGACUCCAGAUCUUCAUCUAAAUCUGCAGGAACUUUGUGACCUGUGACAGUAUCAUAAAGAGGGCAGUCACUUUUCAGUACAGUUAACUCGAGACCCAUCUGAGAGCAAAUUAUGGAAGAAGGAUCUGGUCUUCGUUCAGCAGCCACGUCUGCUUCAACACCUGUAAUAAUGCUAGCCCCAAGAUCCACUGGUACCGAAAGAGAUGUUCGAUCAGUAAAGACACGACCUCCUAUUCUACCUCUAGCCUCUAAAACAGUAACUUGGAAACCCUGUCUCUGCAAAUGGCGAGCAGCAGCUAAUCCAGCAGGCCCAGCUCCAAUUAUGAUAAUUUGCUUUGCAACUUCCGAAUGAUGUUCCCCGCAUGGAUUCUCCCCUACAUUAUCAACUGUGUCAUAUAGGGUGCGAUUAAUUUUUCUCAUGGGCUCUGAAGGUAUAACAGGGGCUGUUCCAGCAUCUGCUACUUUACAAGGAGAUACAAAAUUCAAAUUAUCCAAACUUCCGAGUGUUACUGAUUCCAUAUCAUCUAGUAGUCCCUGUCCCUGAUUACUGUCACUUUUUUCAGGUUUUGUCAGUAUAAAUGACUCCAAAACAUGUGAAUCAAGAACUGGCCUGUCUUGUUUGUCCAUUGCUACAACAUUUUCGCAAUCAUGUAGAGCCAAAUUCUUUUCCUCCAAUGAAGAAUCAGGAUUCCUGGACUUGCCAACAAUAAACGAAACUCCUUCAUCUGAAUCAGCCAAAGCGGCCCCAGGUGUUUCCCCUAAUGUUUUCUUGGUUGAAGCAUGUAGAUUAUAUACUAAAGAAGAUUCUGAAACCCUUUUCUUAGAAGCAAUUCCAAUAUUAAUGUAACCCUGUCAAAAAGGUAUUUAUCAAUUUAAACAUAUAUUCCUCUGAAUUUAAGGCAAUCCAACAUUCUAUCCUGUACACAUGUGAACAAGAACAGUUGCAAUACCAAGGUAGCAGAAAAAAUAACACUAUAUCAAAAAGGAAUCAAUGAGUCCAUCCACCUAAAAGCGAUACACUUCGGUUAAAUAGAAGUUUUUAAGAAAAGUAAUUAGAAGAGAGUGUCAGUUUUUCUAAAAUACCUAUGUAUCCAAAUGGUUACUAGUCGCCCUCAAUUGUACUAUUUCUGGGCAAUUAAUCCUUUCCCGUCAUUAUUGCUUCAACUCAUGUAGAUAAAAUAUUUGGAGAAGAAAAUCUUUUCGAUUUUGUCAUUCUUUCCUAUGAUUAGGUUGUAAUGAACUACUGUACAUUCUAAAAGACUUACAAAAUGAUCAAGAAACUCAUAGAUUUCCCUAAUGAGAGAAGCAUCCGGUGAUUCAUCAACCAUUGGAGUAGCAGAGAUGCCACAGCUUGAGAGAGGCAAAAUGGAACUAACAUCUUUGUUCCAAAGACCUAAUAUAUGAUUCCUGGAAACAUAAAUAUAAUUUAGAGCUAUAUUAGGGAAGAAAUUAAUAAAGAUAAAAGCACCACCACAUAUUUAGCAGAUAGGUUAAUUGUAAUAAAACUAAUGUAUUUGCUAAGUUUAUACUGGGUAAAACACCAUCUCACAUUAUAAAGCUUCUCCAAUUAUACUAAUGGUGCCUUUUACUCCUUAGUUCCGAAAAAGGUACCUUAAAAUUUCAGAAAUAGCACCAAAAGAGGCACUACCCGUUUGACUUAUCUUAUUUUCUCAAAAAUAAGUCACUUAUUUCUGGAAAAAAAAUGUAAACAUAUACCUUUUUUCUGAUAAUAAGUACUUAUAUCUGAAAAUAAGAGGAUGGUCAAACUCCCCUUAAAUACAUAAUGUCAAUAAUAGUAUGUAAAUGUGAAAUUUUUUGGAAGCCCUUAUUAAGUUCAGCCAAAUAUGUCCGUUGUUUGAACAUGAAAGUAACUUACAAUCUCAGCCAAACAAACUCUUAACCAAGAAGUUCAUGCUAACAGCAAACAGAGAGGGCUUACAUUGCCAACCAUAAUUAAUACAGAAAUUACUAGAACAUCAAAGGCUUUGUCACAUUUCCAUAAAGACGUCAUUUAGCUUGAAUAGUACAAACUUAACUCCAGGUAAUGACAGAAAUGUAGUGAAGAAUAAGAGAGGAUACAAGCGAUAUAUGGUUAAUAAUUGGCUAAAUAAGAUAUGAGUAGGCGCAGUACAGGACACUAGCCCUUGCAUUUCAAAACAAUAAUUUGGAACAUAUAAUUAUAAAUGCACUAUCAGACUUGAAAAUAGUAACAAACCUGCAUUCUAGAUACAUAUUAAGGCCCCCUUUGCGCUUCAAUACCUCCUUAAACCUAAUCUUCUCAAUUGGACUGGCUGCACGAGCUUUGAGGCCAUAAGAUACUGCUGCAUUGCAACCAUUUUUGGCCUCAAGGAACAUGGUUGACGGUUUUGAUUUCUCCUUUCUUCUAACCAAGCUAUUAUCAUCAUCCUGAUUAUCAGCAUUAAAAUUUCCGUCAUGUACCAGAAAAUUCCAAUCAGCAUCUCCUUCAUAAGCCAUGUCCAAUUGCCUACGCUUUCUGGUGUUACGCAUUGCACGCUGCGCUGAAAGUUUAUUGUCUUUAUCUUUAGGCGAGGGCACCAACCCAGUAUCGUCAGUAUGAUUUUUAUUACAAUCAGGAGCAGUGGAUGGAGAAGAGGACCCAUCGGCUACUUCAUCACCAGAAAAAUCACAACUUAAUGCAGAUGGUUCCUUGAAUGCAUUAUCAGAUGAAUGGGUUAGAUGGAAACUGGAAGUGCACCUUGGAACUGAGGUGUCAGACUUGUUAAUAAGUGCAUGCUCGGUUAGGCCAUCAGAUUUGUCACCAUUUUGCUUGCAGUUCCAAGACGGAUUUUCUUGGAAAUCAAUUUCCUGUUUCUCGACUCCUAGUGAUGAAGGUGAUAAAGCUUUCUCCUCCUUUGCCUCGUCAUGCUUAGACAUUAACAAAUUUGUCUCAUGAGAUGUCAAUUUUUUCUCAGAUAGACAUUCAAAUGACCCCAAAUGUUUUCCAGAAAUCAGUUUUGUGGUCUCAUUGCAUG